rnacentral:misc_RNA from 1 species
GAUGAAGAACGCAGCGAAAUGCGAUACUUGGUGUGAAUUGCAGAAUCCCGCGAAUCAUCGAGUUUUUGAACGCAAGUUGCGCCCGAAGCCAUUCGGCCGAGGGCACGUCUGCCUGGGUGUCACGCAUCGUUGCCCCCCCAAACUCCGGUUCGGGCGGGGCGGAAGUUGGCCUCCCGUGCGUGCCUGCGCGCGCGGUUAGCCCAAAAGCGAGUACUCGGCGACGAGCGCCACGACAAUCGGUGGUUUUUUUGCCCUCGUUCCUCGUCGUGCGUGUCCCGUCGCCCGAACAAGCUCUUGUGACCCUCACGCGUCGCCUCGGCGGCGCUCCCAACGCGACCCCAGGUCAGGCGGGACUACCCGCUGAGUUUAAGCAUAUCAAUAAGCGGAGGA